AAGGAGCACUUCUACCAAUCCUUUCGGGGUGAGGUCAGAGGCCAGAUCAUCAGCGAACGUCUGAUGCUGGUUAGCUCAUGGGUGGAACGUUGAUUAUUCGGCCGGUUCGUCGGGCCGGAGGCUGUGAGUACUACCCCUUGUGGGUGUGGAAAGCAUGAUCUCCGGACGGGGAGUGGUCGGGCACGCUGUUGGGUGUCUGAGGGUAUGGCCGUAUGGCUGCCUUCAGUGCCGACCCCGGUAAAGAUUCGCGUCAAGCGGGUUGUGACGGGUGGUUGGUCGUUG
rnacentral:misc_RNA from 1 species